rnacentral:rRNA from 1 species
AAAGAUUAAGCCAUGCAUGUCUAAGUAUAAGCAAUUAUACCGCGAAACUGCGAAUGGCCCAUUAUAUAAGUUAUCGUUUAUUUGAUAGUACCUUACUACUUGGAUAACCUUGGUAAUUCUAGAGCUAAUACAUGCGUACAUAACCUCGACUUCUGGAAGAGGUGCACUUAUUAGAUAAAAAGCCAACGCGGGCAACCGCUUGUAUGGUGAUUCAUAAUAAUUAAUCGAAUCGCAUGGCCUUGUGCCGGCGAUGAUGCAUUCAAAUUUCUGCCCUAUCAAGUUUCGAUGGUAGGUUAGUGGCCUACCAUGCUUU